GGGGGAUAAGCAGGACUGUAGACCAAGUAGAGGAAGUAGUCUGAAUUUUGUUCCCCCAGGAGGGGUCCUUUCUAGACACUCACUCCUUCCUCAGCACUUUACCCACUCCUUUCACCUUACCUCCAGGUUCCUAAGAAAACCUUUUCUCCCUUCCUUCACUCUCCUAAGGCAUAAAGAUUGACAACAGUUUAAAGGGUUAUCACUCCAGACCUUAGCUUACCUUACAGUUACGUAGUCUGUACCUCAGCUUACAAGAAAGGCAUAUUCAAACCUAUGGUCUUGUGAAAAUAAAUUAAGGAAAACCUCACUAAAAUGGAGUCAGGAGGUUCAGCAGUGGAGGCUCUCACAGUCUCCCAUUUCUCAUCAAUUAAAAUGCAACAGGAAAAGAUGGAUUUUGCUUGUGGAUACCACUUGACUACCACAGCUUGAGGAAGGAAAGCUUUCUUCCGCCCUCGGCAACAGCCCAACCAAUGAGGGACAGUCAUAACUCAGCCAAUGAGAAGCCAGAAUACUUCAAACUCCCAGUUUACUCCAAUGGGCUUGCUGUGUAUAACAGCCGCCUUCUAUAAAAGAGCAUUCUUUCCAUAUGUUUGGUAGGCUUGCCUGUGGAGUUCACCUAGUUUUGGGUUUUUGUUGUUGUUGUUGUUGUUGGUCUUAGAUGGCAGUUCUCUGCUAUUCCUUAAUAAUUGCAUUUUUGCUAGGAAAAGAACCGGCAGUUUUAUUUUUAAGGUUAUUUGUCUCCAGGAGAAAGUAUAAAAUCUUAACAACUGGCAUAGUCUGAGCAGACAACUAGCGAAAACGAACGGAGGCCAUAGCACGGAGUGGGUCUUGGAGCCUUCCUCACCUAGUGCUAGGCCUCACCCCAGCUGCCAAUCCAUGGGGAAGAUCUGCAAGAAUCCCAGGAGGGGGCUGGGCAACCAGGUCUUUUCUAGGACAUUUGCAGGCCGAUUGAGCCGAGGAAACCAUCUCCAUGAGGUUCAACAACUUCUCAAGCUCUCACAGCUGGGGCUGCUGAUUAACUCCUGGAAUUGCCAGACUGCUAGAAUCCUGAACUCUGUGGAUUGUGAUGUGAGCAAAAAGCUGGUUUGUGUUGGAGGAGGGCCUCUCUCUGAAGAGUGGCUGGGGUUGUCAAAGAGUAGGAAACUCAAUUUAGUCUUCUGUGGAUGGAGUCUGAAAUGUUGAUCAGCACUUCCCCAGAAUUCCAGGCAUGUGGCCUGUCUGCAAAAUGAAAUCUUUCUUCCUGUGCACUUUGGCAAUGCAUUCACCACCAACCUCUCAACAGAGGCUGACAUUUCUUAUAUUAAAAACUAAAUG
rnacentral:lncRNA from 1 species